rfam:Firmicutes bacterium CAG:95 genomic scaffold, scf293
AGAUACCAGGGUCAAAAGGUCUAAGCCCACGUGAGCUUGCUCAUAAGUGGGUGAAAGACCUUAGGACCCGCCCCGAUAUGAGCAUAAAAGUGGGAUGAUAAUCCCACGAUAUGCGAAUAUUGGGUAGAAUUGUGGGAGUGCGUAGCACGAAGCAAUUCGUAGGCAUCA